rnacentral:rRNA from 1 species
UCAAUAAGCGGAGGAAAAGAAACUAACAAGGAUUCCCCUAGUAACGGCGAGUGAAGCGGGAAGAGCUCAAAUUUGUAAUCUGGCGGUCUUCGGCCGUCCGAGUUGUAGUCUGGAGAAGCGUCUUCCGUGCCGGACCGUGUACAAGUCCCUUGGAACAGGGCGUCGUAGAGGGUGAGAAUCCCGUCUCUGACACGGACCGCCGGUGCUCUGUGAUGCGCUCUCGAAGAGUCGAGUUGUUUGGGAAUGCAGCUCAAAAUGGGUGGUAAAUUCCAUCUAAAGCUAAAUAUUGGCGAAAGACCGAUAGCGAACAAGUACCGUGAGGGAAAGAUGAAAAGCACUUUGGAAAGAGAGUUAAACAGUACGUGAAAUUGUUGAAAGGGAAACGCUUGAAGUCAGUCGCGUCUUCCGAGACUCAACUGGGUUUUUUACCCGGUGUACUUCUCGGUGUCGACGGGCCAGCAUCGAUUUCGACCGUCGGAGAAAGGCUCUGGGAAUGUGGCACCUUCGGGUGUGUUAUAGCCCUCUGUCGUAUGCGACGGUCGGGAUCGAGGACCGCAGCGUGCCCUUCACCGGGCCGGGGUUCGCCCACGUAACGCGCUUAGGAUGCUGGCG